rnacentral:misc_RNA from 1 species
CAGAGUUGCAAAACUCCCACAAACCAUCGCGAAUCUUACCCGUACGGUUGCCUCGGCGCUGGCGGUCCGGAAGGCCCUCGGGCCCCCGGAUCCUCGGGUCUCCCGCUCGCGGGAGGCUGCCCGCCGGAGUGCCGAAACCAACUCUUGAUAUUUUAUGUCUCUCUGAGUAAACUUUUAAUAAGUCA